UGGAGGACCAAGUGUCUGCGGGUUUUCGCUCCACCCUUGUACUUGAUUAAUGAAUUAAGACCUUAAUCUGAGGCCAGUAACAUCAACAGUGAGGACAAACCCAGCCUGCCACUCUCCUUCCACACUGAGUAGGAACCUACAGUCACUGGGUCCUGAUUGUGACAGUGGAGCCCAGUUUGCUCUGCAGGAUCCAGAGAUGGCAUCAGUGAAGCUGGAAGACUGCAGUCAAACACUGGAGCUGAAUGUCAACAUUAAAGAUGAAGAAGAGGAGGAGGAGAUUAGGACAACUGUUAGUCACGGAUACCAUGUUGAGACAUUCUCCACAUCCAAAGAGCAACAGCAGGAAGAUCAGAGAGCAAAGAGGUCUCAUCAUUGCCCACAUUGUGAAGAGAUUUUCCCAUUUCUAUCAAAGCUAAAAAUACACCUAAGAAAUACACACAGGAGAGAAGCCUUUCUUCUGCCCUGACUGUGGAACUCGUUUCUCUCAGCUUUCCCACUUAAAAUCACAUGAACGUAUACAUACAGGAGAGAAGCCUUUCUUCUGCUCUGACUGUGGGGAGAGUUUCUCUCAG